UACGUAGGGUGCAAGCGUUGUCCGGAAUUAUUGGGCGUAAAGAGCUUGUAGGCGGUUUGUCGCGUCUGCUGUGAAAUUUCGGGGCUCAACCCCGAACUUGCAGUGGGUACGGGCAGACUAGAGUGUGGUAGGGGAGACUGGAAUUCCUGGUGUAGCGGUGAAAUGCGUAGAGAUCCGGAGGAACACCGAAGGCGAAGGCAGUGUCCUGGGGAGUACCUGACGCUCAGGUGCGAAAGCCAGGGAGCGAACGGG
rnacentral:rRNA from 1 species